GUUUUCAAAAAAAAGAGAAAGGUAGUCAUCUCACUUAGAAUCCUUUUCACUCUCGUCCAGAAGCAUUUUCGUCUUCCUCCUCCGUCACACUCACCCACAACCACCGUCGUCGCCAUUGAGGGAGUUCGGAGUUGGUCGGAGGCACGCCGUUCAUCGCAACCGUCGUUUGUCGUUACGUGCUUACGAACCUAGAAAAGGUCAUUGGAGGUCAGGUUUUGAAGGGUUUUUUCGUCGCUAAUGGUGAUGGAUUGCAUUAAAGAAGAAGGUCAUAAGAAUGUAUCUCUUGAAUGAACAAAGGGAAACAUAUCAACCAAAAAUAUCUACAUAUAUAUUUUUUGGUUUUUCAAAUCAUGGCUGCAUCAUCCAGUGCAGGACCGUCAACAAUUUUGUGGAAGUUUGGGACCAUCCACCUAACAAAUUUGGAUUUUGGGUAUGUUGAAUUGCUGCUGCUUUUGAAAAUGAAUUAGGAUCUACGUGGUCGUUGGUGGACAACAAUGGUCACACACAUGUGAUCACUUUCAAUCCUAGAAUAACGAAUGGAUUGUGUGCAAUGAAAAACAUAUACCCUGAAAGACUUGAUGAUGCCCACAUAACCUUCCAAUAUUUGGGUGACAACAAUUUCCAAAUAAUAACUUAUUUUGGUCCUUGCUCCCGUAAGAGUAGGGAAUCUUUCAUUUAUCGUUCUACUACAGAUCCUGAGACGUCGUUGUUUGUUGUCAAAUUGCCUAAAUCACAAUGUCAAGAAGUCAUUUGGACUUGCAAAGUACAUUUGGGAAUUUAAUCAGGAACAAAGGGUUCACAGAGGUUAUGAUCCUUGGUUAUAAGGAUGACAUCAUGUGCAAGUUUUAGUUUCAGAGACUAGGAAUUCAAUAAAGUUUGGAAAAUGAUGGAAGAAAUUUUGCACCCAAUAUGGUUUGAAGGAAGGACACAUUCUGGUCUUCGAGGUUGAGAACCAUUGGAAUGAUAUUAUAGUUGAAGUUCACAUUAAUGGAUGUCAUUGUAAUGUUAUACAUUCAAUAUCAGUGUGAACCACAAAGGACAUCAUCAAUUCACUAGUGCAGUCAAGGGAAACAACAACGGUUAUUUUCUCCCAUAGACAGCGGUUCCGGAACUAAGGCAUAUACAGGCGAGGCAAAAAGUCUACCCUUUUAUGCCUCAGUUCACAACCGAGGCAAAAAGGAGUAGGAUUUUGCCUCAGUUCAAUGGUAACCGAAGCAAUAGUGCUUUUGGUUUCUUUUUCAGGACUUUACGUCUCGGUUCCUUCAUAACCGAGGCAGUAUCUUCCACCUCCCCUAAUGGACUCCACUACCAUGGACCUUCCCUUCAUGAGCAUUCCAUCAAACAGGUUCUGCGCGGGGGUGUCCAUCGCGCUGGGGGAGAACGGGAUGAGGAGAAAGGGCAGCAGAGGGAAGCACCAGUCGUAGAGAAAGAGUAGAGGAGGCUGCCGCGGAAGUGAGUGGCAUCGUCGGUGCCGCCAGGGGCCUUGAUGUAGACAUCCCAGAAGAUCUUCUUGUGAUCAGAGACGACCUGGAGGACUAGAGAGGGCUAGCUGUAGCGGCAGCGAUAGGGGUUGAGGUCUACAAAAACAUAAUAAUUCUCUCUUAAGUAAACCAAGUGAGCGGUCUCCUAAUAAUUACAAAGAAAAUUAACAUUCAAGAAACUAAAGAAAUCAAAUACUCUCCAAAUCUAUGUGGGAUCAAUCUAAUAUUCAAAGGUGUUUUUCAAAAUUGUUUUUCUCUCUCCUUAUACAUGUGCAACCCUAAAUCUUUUGUGGGCCCCAUCCAAUCUUUAAAAAGGUUAUUUUCCCUCUUUUCAAGCACGUGUAGCCCUCUAUGUGGUCUCCUUUUUCUAAGAUGCUAUAUUUUUCACUUCAAGAGUGUCUUUUUAGCAAAAGAAGGGUGGGGUGAGUACACUUAGUUGGGCUAAUCAUUUCAUUAUUCUAGGAAGUGACAACUUCCAAAAGAGGAGGUGUCAUUAGCAAACCUACUAAGUAAACACACCAAGUUAUAAACAAUCAUAAAGAGAAAUGGUAAAUAAACUCAAAGAAGAUGAGAGAGAGGUCUCCUUUUAGUUAUGCUUUUGGUGAUUCUCCUAAGAAGAGUCUCUCCAGCCUCAUGAGGAGUCAUUGACUCAUCCAAGAGUUUGUCUAUAUGUUGUAAAAUUUUUCACAUAGUGUUAUUCUCUAGUUAUCAUUAGAUAACAAUUUUCGUUUUUCUCUGACCUUUUUGUUUCCACAUUAUAUUCUUGUAUUGAUUGCUUUUGCCUUAUUUCUCCAUUAGUAGGGUAAUUCUCGAAGGUAAAGACAUUGGUGUUUUUAGUGACACAUUUUCCUAUCAAAGUGAUAUCAAAGCUUAUUAUGAUUUGAUAUGAUAUUUUCAGUAUGCUCUGUGGUUGCAACUUUAUUUGAUCUUCCACACCAAAAAAGAUGAAUUUCUCACUACAAGAAAAAGUGAAAAUUGUUGGUGGAAUAUUACCGAGGGCACUUGGGCCCUCGGUAAUUCCAUGACAAAUUUAGUUACCGAGGGAUAUGCGAUCGUCUAUAAGUUUCUCGAUAUUUAAUCCCUAAAGCUUGAGUUUCUCUCCCACAACUUUCAUUCUUCGAAAUAGAAAACCCUAUUUCGGUGCUUCGAACCAGAGAACAGGAGCUUGAGGUGAUUAGCGUUCUAGGCUCGUCUUUCAAUCACGGACACCCUCUCCUUUAUUCACCCAACCAUUCACAGAACUUCCAUUGGUUGCGCUUCGUUUGGGUUUGAACGAUCUCCUUCUUCAAUUUAGGGUUCCCAAUUUGCAAACGUAGAGCGUCUCUAUUAUUGGUAUUAGGGUUCCUUCAAGAGGAUAGCUUGGUGGGUCGUGGAGGGUUCAUGGUUCGUGGAUUGUUGGUGAGUUAAGCACGGUGUAGGGUUGGUGCGUUGUUGGGCUUCGAACAUUAAGUCCUCUUCUUCUGCCGUAUUCUUCUGUCUAAAGUACCAGGUAGUCAGUGCACUUGCUUAUUACGUCAGUAUCUUCACACUCUCUACCUUGAAAGGGCACACUAAAUUGAAGUUUAUGCUUACCCUCCACCAGGGAUCAAUAUAAUGGUUCAAACAUGCUAAUGGUGUAUGCUCCUACAGCUAUUCUAAAGUGCCAUUUAUACCAAGAUUCAGCUUCUGCUCAACAGACAUACCCAUCAAAGAUCAAUAACAAUGUUAAUUUGGUGAAUUGCAAGAUGAAUAACAAUGUUAACAAGGAGGAGGCACUGGUAAAGAUGGUGACUCUCCCUCAUGGUUUGGACCAUCAGGAUGACAGAAGCGAUGUGGCCAAACUUUUUGUUUCAAUGAAAACCAUCAUGCCUGCUCUGCUUCCAAAGCUCAUACAACACAUUGAUGCCUCCAAUGUUGGGAACAAGAUAACAUAUAUAAGGGGACUGUUUUCUUAUUUCAUAAAGCAUUGUCUUAACAACAACUGUUGCUUUUUAUUCACCCCUGCAACUUCAUCCGGAGAAGAACAAACCAUGCAAUUUAGAAGAAAGUGAUAUCUAUUAUGCUUGAUUGGUCAGAAAUAUGUGUCUUAU